rnacentral:rRNA from 1 species
ACAGAGGGUGCGAGCGUUGUCCGGAAUCACUGGGCGUAAAGGGCGCGUAGGCGGCCGGGUAAGUAGGGGGUGAAAUCCCACAGCUCAACUGUGGGGCUGCCUUCUAGACUGCCCGGCUCGAGCACGGUAGAGGCUGGUGGAAUUCCCGGUGUAGCGGUGGAAUGCGUAGAGAUCGGGAGGAACAUCCGUGGCGAAGGCGACUGCCUGGACCAGCACUGACACUGAGGCACGAAAGCGUGGGGAGCAAACAGGA